GAGGUUAAAUACGAUGAACCUAAAUAUCCAGUAUGAGAAAGUCAUUAUUAUGAGUAUAUUAUUUUAUAAUGUAUUAAUAGUGUGCAUUUUUUUCAUAAAAAGGACAUUGUAAUCUGUUAAUACAAUUUAUAUAUUCUUUUAUAUAUUAUUUUUAUCAUAAAGAGUCAUGUAUAAGUUUACAUAUAAAUUAAUUAAUUUAUUAAUUAAUUGAUGUAAGAUCGAUGAAUUUCUAGAUAAAUAGUUAACAGUAUUAAAAUAUAUAAUGCUUACAUAAUUUUUUAUGUUUUAUAUAUAAUAUGUACAUGUACGAUAUAUAUGUUUUUGCAUUUAGAUUAUAACAAUGAUA
rnacentral:rRNA from 1 species